GCACGCCAGUGCGAUAAGGGGACUCCAAGUGCGAGGGCAUAUCGUCCUCGCUAUCCUGUACUGUAGGGUAGUACAGCAUCAAGAGCUGGGCAAGACCGGUGCCAGCCGCCGCGGUAAUACCGGCAGCUCGAGUGAUGGACGAUCUUAUUGGGCCUAAAGCGUCCGUAGCUGGCCUCGCAAGUCCGUCGGGAAAUCCACUAGCCCAACUAGUGGGCGUCCGGCGGAAACUCCGAGGCUUGGGACCGGAAGGCUCGAGGGGUACGUCCGGGGUAGGAGUGAAAUCCCGUAAUCCCGAACGGACCACCGAUGGCGAAAGCACCUCGAGAAGACGGCUCCGACAGUGAGGGACGAAAGCUAGGGUCUCGAACCGGAUUAGAUACCCGGGUAGUCCUAGCCGUAAACGAUGUUCGCUAGGUGUGGCACUCGCUACGAGCGAGUGCUGUGCCGUAGGGAAGCCGAGAAGCGAACCGCCUGGGAAGUACGUCUGCAAGGAUGAAACUUAAAGGAAUUGGCGGGGGAGCACUACAACCGGAGGAGCCUGCGGUUUAAUUGGACUCAACGCCGGACAUCUCACCAGCCCCGACUACGGUAAUGACGGUCAGGUUGAUGACCUCAUCACGAGCCGUAGAGAGGAGGUGCAUGGCCGCCGUCAGCUCGUACCGUGAGGCGUCCUGUUAAGUCAGGCAACGAGCGAGACCCGCACUCCUAAUUGCCAGCAGCAGUCUCGACUGGCUGGGUACAUUAGGAGGACUGCCAGUGCCGAACUGGAGGAAGGAACGGGCAACGGUAGGUCAGUAUGCCCCGAAUGGGCUGGGCUACACGCGGGCUACAAUGGCCGGGACAAUGGGUCGCCACCUCGAAAGAGGGCGCUAAUCUCAGAAACCCGGUCGUAGUUCGGACUGAGGGCUGAAACUCGCCCUCACGAAGCUGGAUUCGGUAGUAAUCGCCGUUCAC
rnacentral:rRNA from 1 species